rnacentral:rRNA from 2 species
GACGUAGGGCGCGAGCGUUGUCCGGAUUUAUUGGGCGUAAAGAGCUCGUAGGCGGUCUGUCGCGUCGGCUGUGAAAACCCGGGGCUCAACCCCGGGCCUGCAGUCGAUACGGGCAGACUAGAGUGCGGUAGGGGAGACUGGAAUUCCUGGUGUAGCGGUGAAAUGCGCAGAUAUCAGGAGGAACACCGGUGGCGAAGGCGGGUCUCUGGGCCGUAACUGACGCUGAGGAGCGAAAGCGUGGGGAGCGAACAGG